ensembl:lncRNA
UGACCACCUUCUCUCUCUCCACCUGCUCCUCUGACCUACUCCACCCUCAACCCACCAGAACCAUGGGCUGCUGUGGCUGUUCCGGAGGCUGUGGCUCCAGCUGUGGGGGCUGCGGCUCCAGCUGUGGGGGCUGUGGCUCCAGCUGCUGUGUGCCCGUCUGCUGCUGCAAGCCCGUGUGCUGCUGUGUGCCAGCCUGCUCCUGCUCCAGCUGUGGCAAAGGGGGCUGUGGCUCGUGUGGGGGCUCCAAAGGGGGCUGUGGCUCCUGUGGCUGCUCCCAGUCUAGCUGCUGUGUCCCCAUUUGCUGCUCCCAGUCUAGCUGCUGCAAACCCUGCUGCUCCCAGUCCAGCUGCUGUGUGCCCGCCUGCUGCUGCAAGCCCGUGUGCUGCUGUGUGCCAGCCUGCUCCUGCUCCAGCUGUGGCAAAGGGAGCUGCGGCUCCUGUGGGGGCUCCAAGGGGGGCUGUGGCUCCUGUGGGGGCUCCAAGGGGGACUGUGGCUCGUGUGGCUGCUCCCAGUCCAGUUGCUGUGUCCCCGUCUGCUGCUCCCAGUCCAGCUGCUGCAAACCCUGCUGCUCCCAGUCCAGCUGCUGUGUCCCCGUUUGCUGCCAGUGCAAGAUCUGAUAUGCUGAGCUCAGACCUCAGGUGGUUCUAGCCAGUCCCAGCUCCCUGACUGUGAGCAGUGACACGUCCAGACCCCCAGGGCACACUCCGUCUCUCCAGGGUGGUGAAGUCUGCAUCUCUGGGACCAGAGGCCCGUCGCACACUCCCUGGUGGGGAAGGGCUCCCCGUGUCCUGCUUGAGCCGUCUGGGGACUCGCUGCCACUUCCAACCCAUGAGCAUGCCCCUCCUUGGCAGCUGAGCUCCUGCAUGUGCAGGCUGCUCAGGGACUGAGCCACAGAAAGCCCACCCCUCAUCCUCUGAUGGGCACAGGGCUGUUCUAACCAUCUCCUGGCUUCUUGCUGCUCUGCCCUGGUUCUCACAUAACCUCAGGGCUGGUGCUGACCUCCCAGGGCCUGGGGCCCAGAUCCACCAAAUAACCCCCCUCUCUUCCGUGACUCCACCUCCUUCUGAUCUCGGUCUAGCAAAUCCUACUCUGGGCUUGUGAAGCCGCUAAAUAAACAGGCUGUCCUCAACAAACCUUGUCUCACCGUGAUUCUUUUCUUACAGCCUUUCACAGAAGAAACAUUUCUAAAUGUCUGGCAUACCAUCAGCGGUAGUGGAAACCAGAGUGUGUUGGCAAUAUUUGCUGAAAUUUAUAGUAUUACACGCAGACCUUUUCUCUCUCUCUUUUUUUUUUUAGUUUUUUUUUUAAUGUGGACUGUUUUUUUGGUAAGUCUUUAUUGCACAGUUACAAUACUGCUUCUGUUUUAUGUUUCGGGGUUUUUGGCCACAAGGCGUGUGAGAUAUCUCCCCAGCCAGGCAUCGAACCCGUGCCCCCUCCAUUGGAAGGUGAAGUCUUAACCACGGGACCAGCAAGGACGUCCCACAGGCAGACCUUUUCAUUCUGUGCAUUGAGUUCUCAUCAUUUACUGGGAGGAAGGGAUACUGUAAAUUCACAGAUUUUGUUGAAAUAGCUGGUUAACACAAAAUUAUUUAUCAGAGGAUGGAAUUAGCCACCACCUAAAACUGAAUGGCUUACACUUGUUUAUACGACUUAUGACACAUGCUCUGGGCGGGUGGUAAGGGGACUCCAGACGAACAGCAGUGACGCCUGUGCGGCCACUGUGACUCGGGCUGGGGUUUUGUUAUUAUGUGAUGACAAGAAGUCAGGACACAAAACAUUAGACGCAUGUGGUCAUAACCAUGUGCAGCCAAGAGACGGAUGAGCUGGUUUUCCUUAAUGUUUCAUUUUUAAUUUUAAAAAUUAGUAAGCUUUUAAAAAUAUGCAGAUCUGGGGCACUGUGAGCACUCCUAAGCCUCACGUGUGGUGGUUACACGGGAACAGAAGUUCAAGGAGCUGUAAACGUUCAAGGUAGGUACACGUGCCCACCUCAAAUCAGAAGCAAAACACAGAAAUGAAAAUACACCAUCCAGAUGCUCUUAAGUCACAUGGAGAAAACAGAUCACAUCAGGAUUCCUGGUGGUCCAGUGGCCAAGACUCCAUGCUCCCAGUGCAGAGGGCCCAGGUUCGAUCCCGGGUCAGGAAACUAGAUCCCACACUCUGCAGCUAAGACCUGGUGUGCCAUGGCUGAGACCUGGUGUGCCGCGGCUGAGACCUGGUGCAGCCAAAUAUAUAAACAUUUAAAAAAUAGGUCACAUAGAACCCCCUUGUACAGUCGGUGGGAAUGUAAAUCGAUAGGCCACUAUGGAGAACUGCCGGGAGCCGGCAUAUUGCAUAUUGAGUGCAUAUUGCAUAUUGAGUGCAGCACUUUUCAGGAUCUGGAAUAGCUCAACUGGAAUUCUAUCACUGCCGGUAGCCAGCGUGAGGAACUCCGCCCAUGACAAAGGUCAUGAGGAAGGAGGCUUGGCAUACGCAAAGGCGGGAUCAAGCCUCAGGAGUCUCCCUGGAAAUUCUCGAGCAAUCUACCCCCAAAACCAGAGUCUGCCUACUUUCUGCUUUGUGCUUUCACCUACACCUCUGACUUUACGGGGGGCUGUCCCCCACUACCUCUCUGAAAAAAGUUAGCUUACAGCUCCAGUUAAUAAUUCCUGGGUGUGACAGUGUUUAACCUACAAACUCCUUUGGAAAUCCUCUAGCCUGCCUGAAUAGGUUUUUCCGGCCACAUGUGAUUGUUCAGAGCCUCCCAACUGUGAGAGGCAGGAGAUGUUCUAAACUGUCUAAACACAGAUUCUUUUGAGUAGUUAAAAGAUUGAUUAGAAAUUGUAUUAGUGAAGGGAUUUUCACUUGUUGGGCCAAUGUUUGCUGCUAAGUUUCCA